UGGAAGAAACUGAGGCACGGAGAGGGUACUUACCCAAGAUCUCUCGGACCGACCCUGAAACUCUGGGGCGAUUGUGCACCUCAAAGCGGCUACGUGCCGCGCGUCAAGCGCUCUAUGAGUACGUCCAAUCACGGCCAUCCUUCUGUCCGGACUCGGCUCGUCUCGCCUCUCAGCCUUUGCGCUGACCGACUCCCCUUCCCCUCCCCCUUCCCCCACCUGCCAUGAGCUCUCGCUUCCCCUCCGCCCCCUAGAAUCCUUCGUUCUCUUUCCGGCUCCGAUCAGACCAAACCUGCCCGUUAAAUCUGCCCGUUCCCUUCAGCGCCGGGAGCCCCCUGCAGCUACUCUGUAUCCCUCCGUGGUUACUUCGUUCCAUUUGUUUGCCUAACAGAACCAUGGAACUCCUUCAGGGGGCGCGGUUCCAGGGGGGGCAGGGACUGGGCCUCGGAGUUUUUUUUUUUUUUUUGGCUGAGGCAAUUGGGGUUAAGUGACUUGCCCAGGGCCACACAGCUAGUGGGCCUCGGAUUUGAUCCGUCUAGAUCCCGGACCUAGAUUCUAGGGCACUGGAACUUUUUGGCCUCAGGAUCUCUUAAUAUUCUUACAAAACCGAGACCACCAAGAGCUUUUGUUUCGGUGGUUCCAUCUAUGGCUGUUUACAGUCUUACAUCACAAUAUUAUUGUGAAAAUAACGUUUGAUUUUCUGGAUCCCCUGAAAGGGUCCUGGGGUAACUAUUGACCAUAUUUUCAGAAUCAUUGUGGUAGGCGACCCCCCCCCUUUACGAUUUUAAUUGGCUACCCUCCCCACAACGUAUAGUUUUGGAGCAGGAGUGUAUGAACUUUUAAAAACUGUUUUAAAAUGCAUAAAAUAGAGGAUUGCAAUAUCCUCUAUUUUAUGCAUUUAAAAGCGACUUUUUUCUUAGAAAAGAUACAGAGCAGAGCAAAAAAAAAAAAAAACAAAAACAAACAGAUACAGAGCUUUCACUAGACUGUCAAAGGGGCGGAGCCUGCUCAGACAUGCUUGUGAGAGUAGAUUAUUACCUUUUCUGAGGGAAUAUUACAUCUAGGAAAGGGACAAACCCAACAAAUCAGGGAUUGGUUUAUUGUUUUGUUGCUUGUCUAAACUUAAGAAAGUGAUGGAGAAAAUAGUAACAUGAAAAAGUAUUGUUUGGAGAGUCCAUCGUUAAACAUCCACAGACAUAGCCUUGGGGCCAUGACACACAAAAAGUCUAAGGAUUUUUAGUAGAAUUGCCUAAAGUAAUAAGAGAUUUAGUGACUGGCAACGGCUCACACCACAGGUCCAUGUCAGAGGCGCACAGUAGGUGCUUAACAAACAUUGCAAUUAUUAUUAUGCAAGUAACUGAAGCAGAAUUCAAACUCAGACAUCUGGAUUCUAGCUCUAGUGUCCUUGCCAGUACCCUUCCCUGCCUGUAAAUCUGUAUUUCUGGAAGUCCUCCAUUCUUGGGGGUAUUACUGAGGAAGAGUAGAAAAGGGGGAUGAUUGAGGUUAACAAUGAUGGCUUUCAAAAUGGAGAAUAAAAGCAUAAAAGACAAGUCCACGUUGGGAACAUACAUGGCUAGAGAAGACGGCCAGAGGGUUAAAGCAUCCUUCUGACCCCCAAGAUAAUAAAAAGAAAUAGAGGGAGGCCUCCAGUUUGGUGGGUAGACACUCUGGGGAGAAUAUAAUGUAUGACAUGAGCAAGAUUGAUACUGGAUAAGAAGGCCCAAUGGGGAGAGAGAGGACUGUCCUGAUGAAGAUACACACUAAGAAGAAGCUCCCAGAUUUACCCCAACUCUCUAAAUGGGCACAGAGUGAGAGGAGAGCAACUUCUCUCACCCACUCUCCAACAUCUCACCCUACUUUUACUAUAUUACUUGCCUGUAGCCUAAGCCAUUCUUAUUAGGUACCUGAAAGUAUGGAAACCCAAACUUUCCCUUUCCAUUCCAGCUGCUGAUUCUGAUCUUCUGCCAUGAGGUAGUGAUGUGUGUAUAUGUAUAGAGUUAGGGAAUAUGUAUUUGUAUAUCCUCUGGCUAUGUAGACCAAAGCUUCAGGGCUCCAGUUAGUAAUUAAGGGCCUGAAGCACCAAAUGACAGAUUUCCCAGCCUUCCCUGUUUGCCACCUGCCUUCCUGGGUUCCAAGACACCAUGGCUACAUCAUAUUUUCACAUCAAGUCUCAGAAACUCCUAUCUGUCCAUUAGCCAAACCCUCCAGCACUUUGGGUAUCAGAAUCACCACCUGAAAUGAAGAGGCUACAUCACCUAACAGAGAGAUGAGAAAACUGAGUGAAAUGAUUCUGUCCCCUGUAUGUGCCC
rnacentral:lncRNA from 1 species